GACGAACGCUGGCGGCGUGCUUAACACAUGCAAGUCGAACGGAAAGGCCCUGCUUUUGUGGGGUGCUCGAGUGGCGAACGGGUGAGUAACACGUGAGUAACCUGCCCUUGACUUUGGGAUAACUUCAGGAAACUGGGGCUAAUACCGGAUAGGAGCUCCUGCUGCAUGGUGGGGGUUGGAAAGUUUCGGCGGGUGGGGAUGGACUCGCGGCUGAUCAGCUAGUUGGGGGGGGAGUGGCUUACCAAGGCUUUGACGGGUAGCCGGCAUGAGAGGGUGACCGGCCACAUUGGGACUGAGAUACGGCCCAGACUCCUACGGGAGGCAGCAGUGGGGAAUAUUGCACAAUGGGCGGAAGCCUGAUGCAGCAACGCCGCGUGCGGGAUGACGGCCUUCGGGUUGUAAACCGCUUUCGCCUGUGACGAAGCGUGAGUGACGGUAAUGGGUAAAGAAGCACCGGCUAACUACGUG
rnacentral:rRNA from 1 species